AGCGAACGCUGGCGGCGUGCUUAACAUAUGCAAGUCGAGCGAGAAAGGGGGCUUCGGCCCCUGAGUACAGCGGCGAACGGGUGCGUAAUACAUGAGCAAUCUACCCUUGAGGCGGGAAUAACCCAGCGAAAGUUGGGCUAAUACCGGAUAAGACCACAAGAGGAAACCCUAGAGGUCAAAGGCAGCUCUCUUUUGGGGGGCGGCCCUUCGAGGAGGAGCUCAUGUCCUAUCAGCAGUUGGUAGGGUAACGGCCUACCAAGGCGAAGACGGGUAGCUGGUCUUAGAGGAUGAUCAGCCACACGGGGACUGAGACACGGCCCCGACUCCUACGGGAGGCAGCAGUGGGGAAUAUUGGGCAAUGGGCGAAAGCCUGACCCAGCGACGCCGCGUGGGUGAUGAAGGCCUC
rnacentral:rRNA from 1 species